rnacentral:lncRNA from 1 species
ACCAAAGAGUGUGGAGAUACUAGCAUGGUAUGCAAGUGAGACGUAAGGGUAUAUCUCACUGAAUGUGAUCAAUUGCUGAGCACUCUACUGUCAAGAGUAGCUCGUGAAGGAUAUGAAUAAAAGUAUCUCUCUGAUCUGAGAUCAUCAUGAUAACUUACAAGAAACUCACUGUACUUUGAUGCUGAAUUAUCUGAAUUUAUAAUUCAGUGAUGAAAGAUUUAUGGGCACA